rnacentral:rRNA from 1 species
GUCCAUGCCGUAAACGUUGGGAACUAGGUGUGGGCCUCAUUCCACGAGGUCCGUGCCGCAGCUAACGCAUUAAGUUCCCCGCCUGGGGAGUACGGCCGCAAGGCUAAAACUCAAAGGAAUUGACGGGGCCCGCACAAGCGGCGGAGCAUGCGGAUUAAUUCGAUACAACGCGAAGAACCUUACCAAGGCUUGACAUAUACCGGAAAAGUGCAGAGAUGUGCUCCCCGCAAGGUCGGUAUACAGGUGGUGCAUGGUUGUCGU